UGCAGGUCAUGUAGCACCACGUUCUCCACGAACAUGCUCUGCGCGAACGGAGAAGGGUGACCAUCGUCCGCCCACGCCCCAGCCCAGUCACAGCACGCGCA